UUGGAGGGCAAGUCUGGUGCCAGCAGCCGCGGUAAUUCCAGCUCCAAUAGCGUAUAUUAAAGUUGUUGCAGUUAAAAAGCUCGUAGUUGAAUUUCGGGAUCAAUCUGUUGGUCGUGCCUUUGGUACGUACUAGCUUAUUGAUUUCUCCCUUCUGACGAACCAUGAUGUCAUUAAUUUGGUGUCAUGGGGAAUCAGGACUGUUACUUUGAAAAAAUUAGAGUGUUUAAAGCAGGCUCACGCUUGAAUACAUUAGCAUGGAAUAAUGAAAUAGGACGUUUUGAUUCUAUUUUGUUGGUUUCUAGGAUCGACGUAAUGAUUAAUAGGGAUAGUUGGGGGCAUUAGUAUUCAAUUGUCAGAGGUGAAAUUCUUGGAUUUAUUGAAGACUAACUACUGCGAAAGCAUUUGCCAAGGAUGUUUUCAUUAAUCAAGAACGAAAGUUAGGGGAUCGAAGACGAUCAGAUACCGUCGUAGUCUUAACCAUAAACUAUGCCGACUAGGGAUCGGAUGAUGUUAAUUUUUUAAUGACUCAUUCGGCGCCUUACGGGAAAC
rnacentral:rRNA from 1 species